UCAUAAUCUUCUGUAGGGAAACUCUGGUGCCUGAUGUGAAGUUGAUAAUAUCAUCUGCAAAGAUCAAAUGAUUGACUUGAGGACCUUUUUUUCAUGUAAAAUCCAUUGAAGAAUUGAUCAUUGUUGAGGUUGUUGAGAAUUCUGGGGAGAAGUUCUGCCCAAUGAUAAAGAGGGAUGGUGCCAAGGGAUCUCCCAUUUUAGACCCCUAGUGGAUUUGAAAAAACCAUGCCUAAUUCCAUUUAUCACAACAUAGUACCGGUUAUUGGACAUGGUUCUCCAGAUCAUGUCUGUCACACCUCCUUUUCACUACACAAGCAAGGGCGUAAAGGAGUUUUUCCAAUUUAAGUGACAAUCGAAACGGGAUUUAUUAUAAAGAUUCAGAGUCGCCACUUGAGAAAUUAAUGGUGUCCCAAGUCACUGGUUGAAUCCCGAACUGAGGAAAAUAUGACUCUGUUAACAGUCCGCGAACCAGAAAUCCGAGUAAGGAAUUCAGUUAACCCAGGAGAAGGUGUUAGGCAUUCCCGGGUUCCGUGGUUCUAGCACGGUCGCUCAACUGUCUUUAGCUUAUUAUCUGAUUUUAUUACAUGAUGAACCUAUGUGCUAAUUUUACUUUUAAUCACUUUUUAUUUAAUUUUUAAAGAAAAUUGAAUGUCGUUUAAAACGUGCCUUUGGAUUGCGCCACAUGAAAUGCACCCGUAAUCCUGAACGCAUUAUAUUCAACGUUUUGGGAUUUGAUUUGGGUCACAUAAAAUGCACACCCGAGUUUAAGAAUGUAAUUUUGUUAAAAUCGCGCCUAAAGUGACUAACGCGUUAUUAUCUUUUGGGAAGACCAUGAAAUUCGCUAAUCGGCCCAUCCCGAAUUCUAAGUAUUUAAUAUAACUAUUUAUUAAGGGCCCCACAAUUUACAUUUUAUUUGACGAGGCUCCUCUCAUUUAUUAUUUAAAGGGCAAACCUAAAAGCAACUAUAAUUUUCUAUUUGUAUUUGUAUUUAAUAAUAAAAGGAAAAGUCUUAAUUAACAUUGAUAAAUGGAUGAUCAGUGGGGGCAACCCAAGAAUUGCCUUAGGGAGUGGGCUUCAAGGCCAACCCAUGCAAAAAGGGGGCUGAAUCAGCCUUGGCGACAUUAGUAGAAGAAUGGACCAUUAGGAGAAUGCUUUCAUCUUUGGGCUUAUGAUUGGCCCAACGAAAAUCUGGGCGGACGUCCAAUUCGAUACCAAGUUCAGUGGGAAUUUUAAUUUUCCACAACUGGAUCUCCAAAAAUAGCACAAAUAAGCACAGACCUAGCAAAUCAAUUUUAUACAAGUUUGGACCAAUAAGCUAGCAGACGAGGUGAUCAACAUGAUGCUUUCAUUCUACUGAAAUUCAGAGUCGUUCAACACACAUCAUUUUAAAACAUAUUUACGAAAGCAUCCAGCAUGAGACUGACUAUAACUAACGUGAAUCACUUAUUAACCUAACACAAAAUUAGUUACAACUAAUAGAGAACUAACUAUAACUAGGACUAUACUUGAAAAACAAAACUCAUUGAAUUAGAAUCAUAACAACAGUCCAUUUAAUACAAAACAAACAGGAAUUUAAACAACAUCCAUAAACUAAAUAUUGAAUACAUGGUUCAGAAAUUGAAAUAACUCAAAUCUCAUGCUUCAAUUAUCAUUUGAAUUCUGCCUUCACAUUUCAGCUCACAAUUAUCUAAAACAAAGUUGUGUACCUGGAAUUGGAACACAAAAUGAAGGGGAAAUAGAAGUCAGCUGAGGCAGUAAGAACAGACAGCAGCAAUAUGAACUCAAACAGCCACAAUUACACCAAUGCUUCAGCCCAGAAAUGAGUUAGGAGUAUAGAAAUGCUUUUAAAAACCAAAGGAUUAACGGAUCCAGCCACAGCAAAUUCAACUAAGCACAAUUGACUUCCCAAAUGAAAACAACAACAGCUCACAGCAAAACAACACCCAAAUUGAUCCCAAAAUGCCUCGACCAAACCCAAAAACUGCUUGAAAUCAACUAGGAAUACCUCUGAAAUUUCAGCAACUAAAAAGAGAACUAGGAGAUGUGAAUUGAUAACUAGAAUAUCAAAAUUAACCUACAAUUUCCAAUGAAACAGUGAUUUUUUUUUGGAUUUUUGAAGUUUUUUUCUAUUGUUUUUGUGUUUUUGAGAUACUAGAUCUAAUUGGAAUUGGAAAUUCAAAUCUGAAAUUCAGAUCUGCAGCCAAGGGUUUUAGGGGAAUUUUUG
rnacentral:lncRNA from 1 species